UGCGCUUACAAUCCGUCAGAGCCCUCCUUCGUGGUGGGGUGAUGGCGUGCCUUUUGAAGAAUGAGCCUGCGAGUCAGGGACAUGUCGCGAGGUUAACCCGUGUGGGGUAGCCGUAGCGAAAGCGAGUCUGAAUAGGGCGUAUCCAAGCAACAGUGCUUGGUGUAGUGGUGUGUUCUGGACCCGAAGCGGAGUGAUCUACCCAUGGCCAGGGUGAAGCGCGGGUAAGACCGCGUGGAGG
rnacentral:rRNA from 1 species